CGGCUCAGUAACACGUGGAUAACCUACCCUUGAGACGGAGAUAAACCCGGGAAACUGGGUAUAAUACCCGAUAGAUCUCGACUGCUGGAAUGCAUCGAGCUUGAAAGCUCCGGCGCUCAAGGAUGGGUCUGCGGCCUAUCAGGUAGUAGUGGGUGUAGCGUACCUACUAACCUACGACGGGUACGGGUUGUGAGAGCAAGAGCCCGGAGAUGGAUUCUGAGACACGAAUCCAGGCCCUACGGGGUGCAGCAGGCGCGAAAACUUUACAAUGCUGGAAACAGCGAUAAGGGGACCUCGAGUGCCAGGUUACAAAUCUGGCUGUCGUGAUGCCUAAAAAGCAUUGCAUAGCAAGGGCCGGGCAAGACCGGUGCCAGCCGCCGCGGUAACACCGGCGGCUCGAGUGGUAACCGUUAUUAUUGGGUCUAAAGGGUCUGUAGCCGGCCGGAUAAGUCUCUUGGGAAAUCUGGCAGCUUAACUGUCAGGCUUUCAGGAGAUACUGUCUGGCUCGAGGCCGGGAGAGGUGAGAGGUACUUCAGGGGUAGGGGUGAAAUCUUGUAAUCCUUGAAGGACCACCAGUGGCGAAGGCGUCUCACCAGAACGGACCUGACGGCAAGGGA
rnacentral:rRNA from 1 species